UCGCUCGGUUACACGUUAUCGAGACCUCCUUGUACAGCAUGCCAUUCCUGCUUUGGAAGAACGUAACUGUGUGGAAACCGCUGUUUUCGUGCAAAAUGGGGCAACACCUCAUGACGCUCGCCUAGUGGGCCGCGCGGGAUUAGCCGUGCGGUCUAGGGCGCUGCAGUCAUGGACUGUGCGGCUGGUCCCAACGGAGGUUCGAGGCCUCUCUCGGGCAUGGGUGUGUGUGUUUGUCCUUAGGAUAAUUUAGGAUACGUGACCUGCAAGCUUACCUGAUCUGGAUCCAUGUGACUUUUCGCAAUGGGGAUACCUAAAAGAAUGCAUUUACCAGGGACACGUUCGGUCUCCACCUGAUCUGAAGGCUUGGAACACAUUGCUAAGAUUCCAUCGGAACUGCUGCGAGUUAGUGUUGGUCACGUCGUCUUACGGAUGGACCACAUCGUCGACUUUUCCGGUGCUCAUAUUGAACAAAUUGUGUAAACGGCGCUUAAUAAUAAAGUCAACAUUAUGCAUU